rnacentral:rRNA from 1 species
UACGUAGGGCGCAAGCGUUGUCCGGAAUUAUUGGGCGUAAAGAGCUCGUAGGUGGCUUGUCACGUCGGGUGUGAAAGCUUGGGGCUUAACUCCAGGUCUGCAUUCGAUACGGGCUGGCUAGAGGUAGGUAGGGGAGAACGGAAUUCCUGGUGUAGCGGUGGAAUGCGCAGAUAUCAGGAGGAACACCGAUGGCGAAGGCAGAUCUCUGGGCCGUAACUGACGCUGAGGAGCGAAAGCGUGGGGAGCAA